rnacentral:rRNA from 1 species
GGGGACUUCGGUCCGCCGGCGAGUGGCGAACGGGUGAGUAAAGUAUCGGAACGUACCUUUCAGUGGGGGAUAACGUAGCGAAAGUUACGCUAAUACCGCAUAUUCUGUGAGCAGGAAAGCAGGGGAUCGCAAGACCUUGCGCUGAUUGAGCGGCCGAUAUCAGAUUAGCUAGUUGGUGGGGUAAAGGCCUACCAAGGCGACGAUCUGUAGCGGGUCUGAGAGGAUGAUCCGCCACACUGGAACUGAGACACGGUCCAGACUCCUACGGGAGGCAGCAGUGGGGAAUUUUGGACAAUGGGGGCAACCCUGAUCCAGCCAUGCCGCGUGAGUGAAGAAGGCCUUCGGGUUGUAAAGCUCUUUCGGCCGGGAAGAAAUCGCACAGGCUAAUACCCUGUGUGGAUGACGGUACCGGAAUAAGAAGCACCGGCUAACUACGUGCCAGCAGCCGCGGUAAUACGUAGGGUGCGAGCGUUAAUCGGAAUUACUGGGCGUAAGCGUGCGCAGGCGGUUUCGUAAGACAGAGGUGAAAUCCCCGGGCUCAACCUGGGAACUGCCUUUGUGACUGCGAGGCUAGAGUAC